AAUAAUGCACUAAGGCAUGAAAAAGCUCUAUAUAUAUCCCUACUAGCCUCGACCAAAUUUCUAAUAUCUUAGCCUUACACACACAUUAUUAUUAGUUAUUACUUAUUAGGACUUAGAGUAGUGUCCACAUACACAAAAAUAUUAUAAUACUUAAUAAUUUGGAUGAAGGAUCAUCACCACCACCACCACCACCACCAUCACCACCAUGUGAUGAAUGGUGAAAUCCCUCAUCAUGAAGGGAGUGAUUUGAUGAGAAGUAGAGAGAAACUCCACCAUAAUAAUAUUAGGGUGGAUAAUAACAAGGAGGUAGAUACUAAUAACACUAAUAAUGGUUCUUCUUCUUCUUAUUCCUCCAACCUUCUUCAAGGUAAUAGGCUUAUUAUGAUGAAGAAGUUUAACAAAACUACCGAGAGAUCAAGGAGAUCUUCUUUUUGGAACCACCGUGCUGAAGAUCCCAUUAGAACUUUGAUGUUCUUGGGCUCCUCAAAUCACACAUAAUUCACCAUGAAAUUAUAUAUAUUCCCCUUAAUUAUAGGGGUAACAAUAAUGGAGUGAAAAUUUUCAUGGAAGAUUUUUCUGUGUAAAAAUUACACAUAUGAUUAUAUUCUUCUAUGAAAAUUUCUCCUACUUAAUUAUCCCAAAUAAGCAUAACCCUAAAUCUCUAAAUCAAACUAUUAUGGCCUAAAACUUUGCUACUAUUAAUUUUCACAUAUAUACAUAGUUGUGUAUAUAUGUAUGUAUUUGUAUAUAGCUAGCUAGGUUUAUAUAUAUGUAUUUGUAUCUAUAUAUGUAAGUUAUAUAUUAAGUUUCUUCUUGUCUUAUUUGUUAUUUGGGAAGUUUGUUUGCUUUUAGAAACUGAAAUCCUCUCUGAUCAUAUCUCUAAUUAACUUAUCUCGAUGGGAUUUAUAUGAAUUUUCGACGUAUAUAUAAAUUUUAUUGGAUCCUUCUAGAGAGGCAAUGGACUAUUUGUACAAUGUAGCUAUUGAGUUACAAAAUAAACAUACUGAUUUUGGGGUUCACCAAGAAUCAAACUCUUAAUCUUUCGGAUCUAGUGCUCUAAUACCAUGUCAUGAUACCACUCAUCCCAAAAGAUUCAGCUGAUGAGAAAAAG
rnacentral:lncRNA from 1 species